rnacentral:rRNA from 1 species
UACGGGGGGGGCAAGCGUUGUUCGGAAUUACUGGGCGUAAAGGGUUCGUAGGUGGCCAACUAAGUCAUACGUGAAAUCCCUCGGCUUAACCGGGGAACUGCGUCUGAUACUGGAUGGCUUGAGUUCGGGAGAGGGAUGCGGAAUUCCAGGUGUAGCGGUGAAAUGCGUAGAUAUCUGGAGGAACACCGGUGGCGAAGGCGGCAUCCUGGACCGAUACUGACGCUGAUGAGCGAAAGCCAGGGGAGCAAACGGG